AGAGUUUGAUCCUGGCUCAGAUUGAACGCUGGCGGCAGGCUUAACACAUGCAAGUCGAACGGUAACAUGAGUGCUUGCACUUGAUGACGAGUGGCGGACGGGUGAGUAAGGUAUGGGGAUCUGCCAAAUGGAGGGGGACAACAGUUGGAAACGACUGCUAAUACCGCAUAAAGUUGAGAGACCAAAGUACGGUUCCGCAAGGACGUGCGCCAUUUGAUGAACCCAUAUGGGAUUAGCUAGUUGGUGUGGUAAAGGCUCACCAAGGCGACGAUCUCUAGCUGGUCUGAGAGGAUGACCAGCCACACUGGAACUGAGACACGGUCCAGACUCCUACGGGAGGCAGCAGUGGGGAAUAUUGCACAAUGGGGGGAACCCUGAUGCAGCCAUGCCGCGUGUAUGAAGAAGGCCUUCGGGUUGUAAAGUACUUUCGGUAGUGAGGAAGUUGUGUGUAUGAAAAGUGCAUGCAAUUGACGUUAGCUACAGAAGAAGCACCGGCUAACUCCGUGCCAGCAGCCGCGGUAAUACGGAGGGUGCGAGCGUUAAUCGGAAUGACUGGGCGUAAAGGGCAUGUAGGCGGAUAAUUAAGUUAGGUGUGAAAGCCCCGGGCUCAACCUGGGAAUUGCACUUAAAACUGGUUAACUAGAGUAUUGUAGAGGAAGGUAGAAUUCCACGUGUAGCGGUGAAAUGCGUAGAGAUGUGGAGGAAUACCGGUGGCGAAGGCGGCCUUCUGGACAGAUACUGACGCUGAGAUGCGAAAGCGUGGGGAGCAAACAGGAUUAGAUACCCUGGUAGUCCACGCUGUAAACGAUGUCGAUUUGGAGUUUGUUGCCCUGAGUGAUGGGCUCCGAAGCUAACGCGAUAAAUCGACCGCCUGGGGAGUACGGCCGCAAGGUUAAAACUCAAAKGAAUUGACGG
rnacentral:rRNA from 1 species